rnacentral:rRNA from 1 species
GUGGAUUAGAUACCCUGGUAGUCCACGCCGUAAACGAUGAGAACUUGACGUCGGCCCGUUUUACGAGUCGGUGUCGCAGCUAACGCGAUAAGUUCUCCGCCUGGGGAGUACGGCCGCAAGGUUGAAACUCAAAGGAAUUGACGGGGGCCCGCACAAGCGGUGGAGUAUGUGGUUUAAUUCGAUGCAACGCGAAGAACCUUACCUGGUCUUGACAUCUACGGAAGUCUGCAGAGAUGCGGAUGUGCCUUCGGGAGCCGUAAGACAGGUGCUGCACGGUCGUCGCCAACU